rnacentral:rRNA from 2 species
CGGAGAAUGUUAUCACGGGAGACACACGGCGGGUGCUAACGUCCGUCGUGAAGAGGGAAACAACCCAGACCGCCAGCUAAGGUCCCAAAGUCAUGGUUAAGUGGGAAACGAUGUGGGAAGGCCCAGACAGCCAGGAUGUUGGCUUAGAAGCAGCCAUCAUUUAAAGAAAGCGUAAUAGCUCACUGGUCGAGUCGGCCUGCGCGGAAGAUGUAACGGGGCUAAACCAUGCACCGAAGCUGCGGCAGCGACACUCAGGUGUUGUUGGGUAGGGGAGCGUUCUGUAAGCCUGUGAAGGUGGCCUGUGAGGGUUGCUGGAGGUAUCAGAAGUGCGAAUGCUGACAUAAGUAACGAUAAAGCGGGUGAAAAGCCCGCUCGCCGGAAGACCAAGGGUUCCUGUCCAACGUUAAUCGGGGCAGGGUGAGUCGACCCCUAAGGCGAGGCCGAAAGGCGUAGUCGAUGGGAAACGGGUUAAUAUUCCCGUACUUGGUGUUACUGCGAAGGGGGGACGGAGAAGGCUAUGUUGGCCGGGCGACGGUUGU